GACGAAGGAUGCAAGCGUUAUCCGGAUUCAUUGGGUUUAAAGGGUGCGUAGGUGGCCUGCUAAGUCAGCGGUGAAAUCUCUGGGCUUAACCCAGAAAUUGCCAUUGAUACUGGUGGGCUUGAGUGCAGUUGCUGUUGGCGGAAUAUGACAUGUAGUGGUGAAAUACAUAGAGAUGUCAUAGAACACCGAUUGCGAAGGCAGCUAACAAAACUGUAACUGACACUGAGGCUCGAAAGUGUGGGGAUCAAACAGG
rnacentral:rRNA from 1 species